UCCUCAAAAUGAUUGGUACUUCUUUAGCCACAAGGACAAGAAAUAUCCCACCGGAACGCGCACAAAUCGAGCAACUGCUGCUGGGUUUUGGAAAGCUACCGGCCGCGAUAAGGUGAUACACAGCAAUGGUAGGCGGAUUGGGAUGAGGAAGACUCUAGUUUUCUACAAAGGCAGAGCCCCACAUGGCCAAAAGUCUGAUUGGAUUAUGCAUGAAUAUAGACUCGACGACAAUAUUAAUGUUGCUGAUGCCAAUGUGUCCAACGUUUUGGGAGAAGCAACACAGGAAGAGGGAUGGGUAGUUUGCCGCAUCUUCAAGAAGAAAAAUCACCAUAAAACCCUAGACAGUCCUCCAAGUUCGUCAUCCAUCGCUUUGGAGGCAAGGACGAACCAGAUGUUCAAUUCUUUCAAUGAAGGAGCUCUAGAUCAAAUACUUCAAUACAUGGGAAGGACGUGCAAGGAAGAAAACGAAGCAAACAACAUUACUGCAAGAUUUCUCAGGCCAAUCGAUGCAACAAUCAACAAUGGUUAUCGUGACAGCAGGUGCAUGAAACUUCCAAGCCUCGAGAGCCCAAACUCAAGCAGUAGCCAAAAUUGUUACCCACCCAUGAUGAUGAAUGAAGGUUCAAUAUCCAACCAGGUGAGUUCCAUGGAUCCCAACUCAGUUUAUCCCUUGGACUCUGGCCUCACCAACUGGGCAGCCCUUGAUCGUCUAGUAGCUUCUCAACUGAAUGGCCAAAGUGAAAAUUCGAGGCAGUUUGGGUGCUUCAAUGACCCAAACAUGGGCUAUUGCAAUCCAAUUGAGCAACCUCACCAUGAUUUCCAAUUCCCAACCCAACGAUCGUCAUUCUCAUUGCCAUCGAGCAGGCCGUACCAUGGAAGUCAUCAAGAUUAUGUAAGUGAGAUUGAGCUGUGGAAUUUCGGCUCUCGGUCACCGCCGUCAACAUCGGACCCAAUAUGCCACGUUUCAAAGUCUAGUGUAUAACAGAUGAAUGAAUAACCCCACAUAAAUAAUGAUAUCAUAGUUGAUAAAGUCAGAAGGAGUAUUAUGACAAGAGUUUUAUGUGAUAAUUUAUAUAUGUAAGUGAUAUAGAAUAUAUAAAUAAAGUGAAGAGUUUCUUAGAUGGGGUGGCAUUAUCAACCAUUAUCUUUUCUUAAUCAAGAUGUCUACCAUUUUUCAAUUUGUAAUCUAGAAACCAUUAUCUUUUCAAUCUGUGGGGUUAUUUCUGUGAUAAUAUCCCUCUAACUUCAUGUAAUAAUUCUACCUUUUUAAUUCCUCUAAGAUGAUGAUCGAUCAAGAUAGUCGUAUAUGUAAUUAUGCUUGAGGUUGUCACAUGGUUUGUCGGUUUGCUUUGAGGAGCCGAGGACUUAGAUCCUGUGGCUGUGGCUCAAUUGGUCCAUGCAAUAUGGGAAAAGUUGGUGGGACUUGGCUAUAGGCUAAAUACCACUAGCCACAAACACGGAGA
rnacentral:misc_RNA from 1 species